UUCGCCCUUAGAGUUUGAUCCUGGCUCAGGAUGAACGCUAGCUACAGGCUUAACACAUGCAAGUCGAGGGGCAGCGGUAUCGAAAGCUUGCUUUCGGUAGCCGGCGACCGGCGCACGGGUGAGUAACGCGUAUCGAACCUGCCUCAUACUCGGGAAUAGCCUUGCGAAAGUAAGAUUAAUGCCCGGUGUUUUCAGAGUCCCGCAUGAGGCUUUGAACAAAGAUUUAUCGGUAUGAGAUGGCGAUGCGUCCCAUUAGCUUGUUGGCGGGGUAACGGCCCACCAAGGCAUCGAUGGGUAGGGGUUCUGAGAGGAAGGUCCCCCACAUUGGAACUGAGACACGGUCCAAACUCCUACGGGAGGCAGCAGUGAGGAAUAUUGGUCAAUGGGCGGAAGCCUGAACCAGCCAAGUAGCGUGCAGGAAGACGGCCCUCCGGGUUGUAAACUGCUUUUAGUUGGGAAUAAAACGGGGCUCGUGAGCCCCCUUGCAUGUACCAUCAGAAAAAGGACCGGCUAAUUCCGUGCCAGCAGCCGCGGUAAUACGGAAGGUUCGGGCGUUAUCCGGAUUUAUUGGGUUUAAAGGGGGCGCAGGCGGACCUUUAAGUCAGCUGUGAAAUACGGCGGCUCAACCGUCGAACUGCAGUUGAUACUGGAGGUCUUGAGUGCACACAGGGAUGCUGGAAUUCAUGGUGUAGCGGUGAAAUGCUCAGAUAUCAUGAAGAACUCCGAUCGCGAAGGCAGGCAUCCGGGGUGCAACUGACGCUGAGGCUCGAAAGUGCGGGUAUCAAACAGGAUUAGAUACCCUGGUAGUCCGCACAGUAAACGAUGAAUACUCGCGGUUUGCGAUACAGUGUAAGCCGCCAAGCGAAAGCGUUAAGUAUUCCACCUGGGGAGUACGCCGGCAACGGUGAAACUCAAAGGAAUUGACGG
rnacentral:rRNA from 1 species